rnacentral:lncRNA from 1 species
GUGGGACCCACCUGCACAUUCUCUUACUUCCCACUCAUUCUCUCUCAUUACUUGUUGGUGAAUUUCCCUUCUUACCCUUCCUAACAUACGUAUGUAUGAUUGGGGGUCUCACAACACCCCUCGGUUCCAAAUUCACCUUGUCCUCAAGGUGGAAUGUGGGAAACUGUUGAUUCAUUUGAUAGACAGCUUCCCAUGUUGCUUCAGUUUCUGAUAAAUUCUUCCACUUGACUAGCCAUUCGUUAGCUCCCAAAUCUUUAUUCCAGCGAAUUCCCAAUACCUGUUCUGGCCAUAGUUGUAACUCGAAAUCUGUUGUCAACAUAGGUUGUUGUUGCUGCACAACAUGCUGCUUACCUAGCUUGAGCUUCAAUUGUGAGAUGUGGAACACAUCAUGAAUACUCGCUUCUGGUGGAAGUUUCAAUCUAUAUGCCACAUCUCCUAUUUCUUCAAUGAUUGUGUAAGGCCCAUAGAAUUUUGGUGCCAGCUUUUCACAUCUUUUCCGAGCUAAGGAUCUCUGCCUAUAAGGUCUGAGUUUUAGGUACACUUCAUCACCCACCUUGAACUUCAACUCCCUUCUUUUGGUGUCUGCCCAUUUCUUCAUGCGGUUUUGGGCUAAGUGAAGAUUCUCCUUCAAUGCGUUCAAUGUCAGAUCUCUCUCUUUUAGCAUUACCUCUACCUCAUCAUUCUGAGUCUUUUGGGUUCGGUAGGAUAAAAUUGGGGGUGGUUGUCUCCCAUAUACAAUCUUGAAAGGGUUGGAGCGUAUGGAUGAAUGGAAAGUGGUGUUAUACCACAGUUCAGCCCAUGAAAUGAACUUAUGCCACUUUUGAGGUUGCUCAUUGCAGAAGCAUCUCAAGUAUGUCUCCAGACAUUGGUUUACCCUUUCCGUCUGUCCAUCCGUUUGUGGGUGGAACGCCGUGCUUCUUUUCAGUUUAGUACCCAUAGUUGUAAAUAAUUCAUUCCAAAAGUGGCUAAUGAAGACUUUAUCCCUGUCUGAUAAUAUGGAUUUUGGAACCCCAUGCUUGCUGACAAUCUUUUCAAUGAAUGUAGUCGCCACUUGUUUGGCUGUGAAAGGAUGCUUCAUAGUAAUGAAAUAAUCAUACUUGCUCAAUUUGUCUACCACCACCAUUAUCACAUUCAUUCCCCCUGCCUUAGGUUAACCCUUCUAUGAAAUCCAUUGACCAUUCUUCUAGUAUGGCUUCCGGAGCAGGAAGUGGAUGUAAUACUCCUGCUGGUUUCGUGGCCUCAUAUUUGUUCCUUUGACAAAUCUCACACUGUUCCACAUAUUUCUUUAUAUCAGCCUUCAUUCCCUCCCAGUACAGCUCCCCGCUCAUCCUUUUAUAUGUCCUCAAGAAUCCCGAGUGUCCUCCUAAUAUGGAGUCAUGGAAUGUAUGCAGCAAUGUGGGGAUCACUGACGACUUCUUUGAUAAUACCACUCUCUUCUUGUAGAACAGUUUCCCAUUCUCCCAGCUAAAUUUGCUAAUUCCCUCUGGAUUCUGUUUCAAUUCUUUAAUGGUUUUCUGUAAUUCCUCAUCUUGGUUGACUUCCUUGUCUAUCACUUCCAUGUCUACAAUGCCAGUUGUCGUCAAGGAGUUUACUUCCAGCGGAUAUUCCAUCCUAGAAAGGGCAUCUGCUGCUUUGUUUUGUAAUCCAGGUUGGUAUAAUAUUUCAAAAUCGUAUCCCAGAAGUUUGGUCAGCCAUUUCUGAAAUUGGGGUUGUACUUCCCUCUGCUCAAGGAGAAAUUUCAAUGCCUUUUGAUCUGAGAUAAUUGUAAACUUCCUUCCUAAUAGAUAAUGACGCCAUUUCUGCACUGAUAAUACUACAGCCAUCAGUUCUCUUUCGUAAAUGGACUUGGCCUGAGCUCGUGUCGACAAUUUCUGGCUGAAGAAGGCUAUGGGGUGACCAUUCUGUGAAAGUACAGCUCCCAAUCCUGUCCCUGAAGCAUCUGUUUCGAUUAAAAAAGGUAGAUCCCAAUUCGGCAGUGCUAGCACCGGGAUAGUAGUCAUGGCCAUCUUUAAUUUUUCAAAAGCCACGGUUGCUUGUUCAUCCCACGCAAAAGAAUUCUUUUGCAACAAUCUGGUCAAGGGGGCUGCAAUUUCUCCGUAUCCUUUCACAAACCUACGAUAAUAGCCCGAUAAUCCCAGAAAUCCUCUCAGACCCGUGACAUCUUUCGGCUGAGGCCAUUUCACCAUGUCUUUGAUCUUCUCCUCAUCAGCCUGUACUCCUUUACUCGAAAUUAUAUGCCCCAAAUAUUGGAUUUUGGAGUGAGCUAUGACACACUUCUUCUUAUUUGCAAAUAGAUGGUUAUCCCUCAACACUGCAAAUACCAUCCCUAGAUGUUUCUCAUGUUCUGAUAUAUCCUUGCUAUAUACAAGUAUAUCAUCGAAGAAUACCAAUACACACCUUCUUAAAAAAGGUUUGAAUACCUGAUUCAUCAAGGACUGGAAGGUGGCUGGUGCGUUUGUAAGACCGAAGGGCAUUACCAGAAAUUCAUAGUGACCCUCAUGUGUUCUGAACGCGGUCUUCUCAACAUCUUCCUUCUGCAUCCUUAUUUGAUGGUAACCGGACUUCAGAUCUAGUUUUGAGAAAACCGUGGCUCCAUGUAAUUCAUCCAGCAGUUCUUCUAUCACUGGGAUAGGAAAUUUGUCCGAUAUGGUUACUUGGUUGAGUUUCCGGUAAUCUACACAAAAGCGCCACCCUCCAUCUUUCUUUUUGACCAAUAAAACAGGGCUGGAGUAAGGGCUAUGACUGGGACGUAUCACACCUGCUUGCAGCAUUUCCACCACCAAUUUCUCAAUUUCCUCCUUCUGUACAUAACCAUAUUUAUAUGGUCUGACAUUGAUGGGCCUUUGGUUCGGUAAAACCAAUAUACGGUGAUCUAUUUCUCUCUUAGGGGUAGCUUUUUUGGAUCCUCAAAGAUGUCUGCAUACUGUUGUAACAGAUUUUUAAUCAUUGGAAUCUCUUCCUCGUCCCCUUUCAUUUCCUGCUCCACUUCCACCUCCGUGUCUACUUCAUACUUUUGGAAUUCCAACAGAAAACCCUGAUCUUCAUUUUCCCACGUUUUCUCAAUGGUUUUCAGGGAACAUUCUGCUUGGAUGAGGGAUGGGUCUCCUUUCAAGAUAAUUUUCUGUUUGCCUGACCAAAAGGACAUUGUUAGAGAUGGCCAAUGUAUCUUCAUGGUGCCUGUUGUAUCCAGCCACUGCAUACCCAAUAUUACAUCCACAUUUCCCAACUCAAUAGCAAAAAAAUCAGCCACCACCACAACCCCUUGUAGUUCCAAUUCCACUCUCUUGCAAACACCCUUGCCUGUACACUUGGUGCCAUCUCCAAUUGUAACUGCAAACGGAUUACCUUUUUCCAAGUAUAAGUUCUUUUCCUUUACUGUCUGGUUAUGUAUAAAAUUAUGGGUUGCUCCACUAUCAAUCAGCACUAUCACUCCUUUGCCCUUUAUAUUUCCCUUCAGCUUCAUCGUUCCCUUCGAUGCCAUCCCAUGGAUUGUCUUCAAUUCUAUUUCCUCUCCUUCUGCAAAAUCCAGGUGGUUUAAUUCCACUGUUUCCCCUGGUUCCUCUUCUAUCUUGUCUUUCUCUUCCUUGCUCUCCUCUUCAUUCAUGAUAAAUAACAUCAGCUCCCUUUUUUCCUUCACUCUACAUCUGUGCCCCGGCGUAUACUUCUCAUUGCAUUUGAAACAUAGGCCCUUAUCCAGUCUGGACCUGAAUUCUGCGUCUGAAAGUCGUUUGAUAGGAGGUUCAUUUUUUUGAUAACUACCCUUAAUAGGUAUAGUUACUUGUUUUAUGGGAAAAUCUGUUUUCCUCAUGUAGCUUUUGUCUGUUCCAUCUUGGAUUUUUCCUGCAUACUCUUCUUUUUUCUUUGGUUCCACUGUCCUGCCCUCGGUCUUAGUCAGUUUCAUUGCUACAUUCCGAUCAUUGACUAGUUGAGCCUCCCUCAUACAUUCUUCCAAUGUUCGAGACGUAACGACUUCUGCUUGAAGAUUGGGUUCCAGACCGGUCAGAAAAGCAUCGCGUAACACACUUUCCUCCAUGUGAGGGAGAGGAGCUGAAUAUGUGACAAAUUUCUUCACAUACUCACUGUAGGAUCCAUCUUGUUGAAUCCUAAUCAAGCGUGCCACUAGACUCGUUUGCCCUGAGUCCUUGAAAAAAUCAAACAUCCUCCCUUUCAAGUCUUCCCAUGACUCUACUUUUUUCCUAUUAUGUGUCCACCGGUACCAGUCCACUUCAUCUUGCCCAAAGCUGACCACAGCCACUUUGAUCUUCUCGUUUUCUGGCAGGUUGUUGAUCUAAAAAAAAUGUUCUGCUCUAUAUACCCAGGAUUCAGGAUUUUCACCUAAGAACAUAGGCAUUUCUAACUUUUUGUACUUACUUCGAUCCACAUUAUUUCCAUUUAUCUCAUUACAGACUUCCGAUUCUUCUACUUUUCCUUUCAACUUCAUGCUGGAUCCAUCAGAUGUUCCGGAUUCAUCUCUUUUCUUAUAGCUAUGAUUCUCUCUUAGUUCCUCCGUUAGUCUUUCCAUAGAUUUCUUCAUUUCCAGUAGCAUUUCUUUCAUGCUCAACAGCUCCUUCUCGGUUCCUUCCAUUCGUUCCUCCAUUUGUCUUUAUGCCAUGCGACGCGUAACAACACCCAGUUUUUUUUUUUUUUUUUUUGUUAGGCUCUGAUACCAAAUGUCAGGAUUCUAACCCACUUUCUAAUAAAACACUCAACAAUGGCUAAAUAGAGACAGCCCCUGUGAUUCUUUAUUUAUGUAUAUAGCCAAAAGAUACAGCUACAAUAUGAAAUGAAAGCAAGAACAGUAAAUAUCAAGAACAUACCAGCAUCCUUUACAAGAAGGAUACCCCCUCCCCUUUACGGCUGCUGCCGCCCCUCUUUUCCCUAUGGUUAACAAAAAAGAUCCCUAUCCCUAUUUCCCAAUCAUUCUAUUUAUACUCACCCUCAAAUUCCUACCCAGUGGGACCCACCUGCACAUUCUCUUACUUCCCACUCAUUCUCUCUCAUUACUUGUUGGUGAAUUUCCCUUCUUACCCUUCCUAACAUACGUAUGUAUGAUUGGGGGUCUCACAACACCCCUCGGUUCCAAAUUCACCUUGUCCUCAAGGUGGAAUGUGGGAAACUGUUGAUUCAUUUGAUAGACAGCUUCCCAUGUUGCUUCAGUUUCUGAUAAAUUCUUCCACUUGACUAGCCAUUCGUUAGCUCCCAAAUCUUUAUUCCAGCGAAUUCCCAAUACCUGUUCUGGCCAUAGUUGUAA